rnacentral:rRNA from 1 species
AGUGAACGCUGGCGGUAGGCCUAACACAUGCAAGUCGAACGGCAGCACAGUAAGAGCUUGCUCUUACGGGUGGCGAGUGGCGGACGGGUGAGGAAUACAUCGCAAUCUACUUUUUCGUGGGGGAUAACGUAGGGAAACUUACGCUAAUACCGCUUACGACCUACGGGUUAAAGCAGGGGAUCUUCGGACUUUGCGCGAGUGAAUGAGCCGAUGUCGGAUUAGCUAGUUGGCGGGGUAAAGGCCCACCAAGGCGACGAUCCGUAGCUGGUCUGAGAGGAUGAUCGGCCACACUGGAACUGAGACACGGUCCAGACUCCUACGGGAGGCAGCAGUGGGGAAUAUUGGACAAUGGGCGCAAGCCUGAUCCAGCCAUACCGCGUGGGUGAAGAAGGCCUUCGGGUUGUAAAGCCCUUUUGUUGGGAAAGAAAAGCAGCAGGUUAAUACCCCGCUGUUCUGACGGUACCCAAAGAAUAAGCACCGGCUAACUUCGUG